UACGUAGGUGGCAAGCGUUGUCCGGAUUUACUGGGCGUAAAGAGCGCGCAGGCGGUCGUUUAAGUCGAAUGUGAAAGCCCCCGGCUCAACUGGGGAGGGUCAUUCGAUACUGAUCGACUUGAAGGCAGGAGAGAGAAGUGGAAUUCCCGGUGUAGUGGUGAAAUGCGUAGAUAUCGGGAGGAACACCUGUGGCGAAGGCGGCCCCCUGGGCCGGCCCUGACACUGAGACGCGAAGGCGUGGGGAGCGAACGGG
rnacentral:rRNA from 1 species